CGCUGCUAACGGGUCACUGGGCGGGCCUAGGUUUGGGGGUGAGGCCUCAGAGACUUCGAGGAAAAGAAAAGGAACGCAAACACUAGGUCGUGAUCGGCUGGAGCCUCCCUUGACAGCCUCUAAAGGGAUAUCUUCUCCCAUUCUGUCGGCUGUCUUCUGGUUUUGUUGGCUGUUUCAGAGACAACAUUUCUAAGGUAAGAAUCAACGGUGUGACGUCCAGUCGGGACCUGCUGAGGGUCCUGAUGUUGACCACCUGUGGAAACCAGAUGCUUGCUUAUGCCGCCAGUGUCAACAGUGCCUUACCUCUUCCCUCCAUCUCAAUCAUCACGAAAAAAGUCCUUGGACACUUACCACCAAGUCUUCCAGUGUCCAUCUGUGAAAUGCCUACUGAACCCACCUCUCUCAUUCCCUCAUCACCACUGGCCUAGCUGAGAAGUCCACCAUCGUCUGUUGUCAAGAACUUGUUCCUGAUUUAAUUGUGGUCCUUGUGAGAAAUCUGAACCAACUCCAUACCCCAUAAUAUCGUGAGUAUGGACAACAGACUCAGUUGAUUCUGGCCACUAAUGUGUUUCAAUAAAU